GGCAACGGAUGGGCAUGCGUGACAUUAGCUAGUUGGCGGGGCAACGGCCCACCAAGGCGACGAUGUCUAGGGGUUCUGAGAGGAAGGUCCCCCACACUGGUACUGAGACACGGACCAGACUCCUACGGGAGGCAGCAGUGAGGAAUAUUGGUCAAUGGGCGCGAGCCUGAACCAGCCAAGUCGCGUGAGGGAUGACGGCCCUACGGGUUGUAAACCUCUUUUGUCGGGGAGCAAAUUCCGCCACGCGUGGCGGAGUCGAGAGUACCCGAAGAAAAAGCAUCGGCUAACUCCGUGCCAGCAGCCGCGGUAAUACGGAGGAUGCGAGCGUUAUCCGGAUUUAUUGGGUUUAAAGGGUGCGUAGGCGGACUGUCAAGUCAGCGGUAAAAUACGGGGGCUCAACCUCCGCCCGCCGUUGAAACUGACGGUCUUGAGUGGGCGAGAAGUAUGCGGAAUGCGUGGUGUAGCGGUGAAAUGCAUAGAUAUCACGCAGAACUCCGAUUGCGAAGGCAGCAUACCGGCGCCCAACUGACGCUGAAGCACGAAAGCGUGGGUAUCGAACAGGAUUAGAUACCCUGGUAGUCCACGCAGUAAACGAUGAAUACUAGCUGUCCGGGGCGAAUGAGCCCUGG
rnacentral:rRNA from 1 species